AUCCAAAACAUUGUGUUUUCAAAACUUAAAUCCCAAAUAAGUUUCCAUUGAUCUCAUAUAACCAUUAUAAAUAAAAUAAUAUAUUAGAUAUGUGCACACUCAAACAACUGAAUCACAGGCAAUGUUGGUGACAUCUGAACCACUUCCAAUUUCCAAACUGUAAAGACAGUGCACCAGUGUUUUCCUUUUUCCAUAAGGAAGGAAAACAUAGCACAUUCCUUUCAUCCUUUACUCCAAAUAGAAGAGCUAGAUUAAUUGUGAUUAAGGCUCUGCAGACAUGCCUUCAAAAUUUUCAUACCUUCAUUUCAAUAAAAUCAGUUUUCAGAAGAGAAGAAGCAAAAGCCUUCGGAUAAGCAUGCUACAGGGUCAAUAGCACACAGGGAAGUGUUGGACACAAAAGGCUGAAAUUGCCAACAGAAAUGAAACGCAACAUACCUAAAUGGGCCCA
rnacentral:misc_RNA from 1 species